GAGUUUGAUCGUGGCUCAGGACGAACGCUGGCGGCGUGCCUAAUACAUGCAAGUCGAACGAAACUUUCUUACACCGAAUGCUUGCAUUCACCGUAAGAAGUUGAGUGGCGGACGGGUGAGUAACACGUGGGUAACCUGCCUAAAAGAAGGGGAUAACACUUGGAAACAGGUGCUAAUACCGUAUAUCUCUAAGGAUCGCAUGAUCCUUAGAUGAAAGAUGGUUCUGCUAUCGCUUUUAGAUGGACCCG
rnacentral:rRNA from 1 species